GACGAACGCUGGCGGCGUGCUUUCUUUUGCAAGUCGAACGAUGAAGUUCCUUCGGGAAUGGAUUAGUGGCGAACGGGUGAGGAACACGUGAGAAACCUGCCUUUCAUUCUGGGAUAACACCGGGAAACCGGUGCUAAUACCGGAUACUCCGUCUUGGCGGCAUCGCCGAGCCGGGAAAAAAUUUUGAUGAAAGAUGGUCUCGCGGCCUAUCAGCUAGUUGGUGAGGUAAUGGCUCACCAAGGCGACAACGGGUAGCCGGCCUGAGAGGGCGACCGGCCACACUGGGACUGAGACACGGCCCAAACUCCUACGGGAGGCAGCAGUAGGGAAUAUUGGGCAAUGGGCGCAAGCCUGACCCAGCGACGCCGCGUGAGGGAUGAAGGUCUUCGGAUUGUAAACCUCUUUCAGUAGGGAAGAAGCGAAAGUGACGGUACCUAAAGAAGAAGCACCGGCUAACUAUGUG
rnacentral:rRNA from 1 species